UACUGAUUGAGUGCUCCGGUGAAAUGUCGGGAGAUUGCUCCGCCGAUCAGCAAUGGUCGCGGAGUGGUCGAACUUCAUUAAAUUUGGGCUCUUAGAAGAAGGAGAAGUCGUAACAAGGUUUCCGUAGGCGUCGUCGUCGGCGCCGCCUACAGGAGCUGGUCCUUCCAGCACGGUCAUCGCCCGGGAAGCCUUAGCAGCCGGAAACGGUGCUGAACGCGACUUUGUAAAAAACAACGAGUCAGCUUGAAUGCUAGUGUGGCGCGCGCCAUGCGACACUGUUAAAUUGCGGGGACCCCCUGAAGCUUUGUCUUACCAAGUGCUUGUGCGCGAAAGCGCCAGCAUGGCCGAGCCAAUCGCCCUGGGUAUGGUAACAACGGACAAGGAUGUUAUAUAUGGGUGAUCCGCAGCCAAGUCCUACGUCGAAUCGCGCAUGUUCGAUAUGGAACGGGUUCACAGACUAGAUAGCAGUGGGUGGCACACACACGUGUGUCGCUUAAGAUAUAGUCGGUCUCGUGCCGAAACGCACGGGGAGGUGAUCGACGCUCUUGCGUGUCGCUGUAUUCGACAACUGCAAGUGUGCGUCACAUGCACAUAUACGUUCCGUAGGUGAACCUGCGGAAGGAUC
rnacentral:rRNA from 1 species